rnacentral:rRNA from 1 species
ACGCACGCUGGCGGCGUGCUUCACACAUGCCAGUCGCACGGAAAGGCCCUGCUUUUGUGGGGUGCUCGAGUGGCGAACGGGUGAGUAACACGUGAGUAACCUGCCCUUGACUUUGGGAUAACUUCAGGAAACUGGGGCUAAUACCGGAUAGGAGCUCCUGCUGCAUGGUGGGGGUUGGAAAGUUUCGGCGGUUGGGGAUGGACUCGCGGCUUAUCAGCUUGUUGGUGGGGUAGUGGCUUACCAAGGCUUUGACGGGUAGCCGGCCUGAGAGGGUGACCGGCCACAUUGGGACUGAGAUACGGCCCAGACUCCUACGGGAGGCAGCAGUGGGGAAUAUUGCACAAUGGGCGGAAUCCUGAUGCAGCAACGCCGCGUGCGGGAUGACGGCCUUCGGGUUGUAAACCGCUUUCGCCUGUGACGAAGCGUGAGUGACGGUAAUGGGUAAAGAAGCACCGGCUAACUACGUG